rnacentral:tRNA from 1 species
GGCGUUGUACUUUAAGUUAGAAGAUCUGACUUGCAAUCAGAAAGUGGGUUUAAUAACCCCAACGCUA